CAGUAGCCGCGGGAAUACGAAGGGUGCAAGCGUUACUCGGAAUUACUGGGCGUAAAGCGUGCGUAGGCGGUGGUUUAAGUCCGUUGUGAAAGCCCUGGGCUCAACCUGGGAAUUGCAGUGGAUACUGGGUCACUAGAGUGUGGUAGAGGAUAGUGGAAUUUCCGGUGUAGCAGUGAAAUGCGUAGAGAUCGGAAGGAACAUCUGUGGCGAAGGCGACUAUCUGGGCCAACACUGACACUGAGGCACGAAAGCGUGGGGAGCAAACAGGAUUAGAUACCCGAGUAGUCCCUGUCUCUUAUAC
rnacentral:rRNA from 1 species